CAUAGAUGUUAGCUCAGGGCAAUCUUCCUCAGCAAAAAAAACCCCAACCUGUUUCAAGAUUUUCAUUCUUUUCAAUUAACACAUGUUUGGAACCAAAUACAUACCCCUUGUGGGGUUAGGCAUAAGUGCAAGGAACAAAAGGAUUGUAUUGGUUUUUCUUGCAUAUAUCUGGGAAGAUACCUGUCCUUGCAGAUUUCAAGGCAAAGUGCCCUUUUUCAGUGAGUUUAAUGAUGCUCAAGAAGUUUUGCUUCCCACAACUUCCUGGGUGAACAUGUGGAAGAGAAGAAAAAAUGUACUGAGCCUCCUAGGUGCCAGGCCCUGCCCUAGGCACCGGGCAUGCACGGUAAGGGGGGGAGGUCACCUUCCUCACUUUAAAGAUGAAUAGAUUAAAUAGCUGUGACACAUCACUUGGCCUCUCAGUGGUGCCCCAGGAUCCUCUCACUGAAGGCCUGCUUAGAGUCUCAUAGGAGGAUAUUUGGUGUUGACUGUGUUCUAGGGAAAUAUAAAGCUAGUGAUAUUUAGGGGAACUGGAGGAGAAAAUAUUCUCUUUUCUACCAUGCUGACCAUACUUCUUCCAUUCAACCUGGAGUCCACCUUGGAGAAAAAGGUACAAGAGCCGAGGGAGGGGGCAAUGGUUCGAGCUCAUUCAGAGGAGCACUGAGUUCCUGUGGAUUCCGCUCUGCUCCCCAACUGCCUCUGCCACAGUACUUUCUAGCAGGGCUGCAAGCUGACCACAGCAUGGUUGAGAGAAAGAACACCCACUCCUGACAGUCAGGACCCCUGGAUUCGACCUCCAUCCCUGUACCCACUGCCCCUGUGACCUUGAGCAAAGAACUUGACCUCUCUGAGCUUCAGCUUUCCCAACUGUCAAAUGGGGAUAAAGGGUUUACGUACCUUCUUUUGGAGGUUAUAAACCAAGCAGAGACUGGACACAAAAGUGCUUUGAAAAGUCUGAAGUGCUACACAUAGGUAAGGGUACCUACACAUAGGUAUUGCUAAGACUUUGAGCCUGGUAUGCUGGUGCUACACUUGUUUAUUUUUUUGCAUUUUUGACUAGCUGAUUUUUCUUGCUUUGCAUUGGUUCGAUGACUGGCAUCAUGAGGAGGAUUUCUUAAACUAGAGCCAGCUGGGUGAGGGGCAAGCCGAAGCGUGUUUGAGGGCAGAUGCUGGAAAACACUUGGAUUUCACAGCAUGUUUCUUAGCAAUACUGUUGCUGCUUUUUGGGAGGACUUUGGAGAAAAGACAUUUAAGGCUGGAUUUCCUUGGUUGUGUGUUGUGUGUGUGUGUGUUUUCUUGAGUUACCAGGAUUUAGGUGACAUAUGCUUUUUGAAAUGAUAGGUUAAAUUUAAUUUUCUUUUAAUUAUAGGCUGCUGUUUGACACAGGUUUGGGGGAGGGGUCCCCAUAUUCCAUUGACUCCUUCUCUGAUCUAGACAUACAAAUGGGACCAAGCCUUUCUCAAUUUUGUUGACAGUUCUGACAAUGACACACCAGGGUGUUUUGAAACAAAGUAUGGUGGCUGCUUAGUGAGCUGAAAGUUGUAACUCGCUUCCCUAGAUACUUAAGAUACUGUUUCUGAGUGUUUUCACUGUGAAAUAAUGGGGAAUGUGGAAUGUGGAGGGCGAGAGUGUCUUCAUAAAUGUGUUCAUUCAACAAGUAUUUCUUGGACAUGUGCUGUGUCCCAGGUACAGUGCUAGUCACUAAGGAUGGACUAGGAAAAGGACUGAUGCUGCGGCUGUGCUGCGGUUGGUCUAGAAGGGCGAGGCAGGCACUUACGAAAGAAAGUGAUGGGGCUGAGAUAGAGGAAGAACAGGAUGUUUACUGUGGAAUCUUAUAAGAACCUUUAACCCAUCCUAAGGGUCAGGGAAGCUUUCAGCUCAAGCUGGGGCCUGAGACCUAGAGAGAAUCGUGUGUACCUGUUCUGGAAAGCAAGCAAGUUCCAGGUGAGUAAUGACAGGUGCUUAGUAUGAUUGGACAGGGAACACAACCAGGAAGGUACAGGAAGUGAAGAGGGCAGGGUGAGCAGAACCGCUGAGUCAGGGUAAGGAGUUUGGCCUUGACCCUGAGAGCAAUGGGGAAUUUUGAAGAGGUCUUAGCCGGGUGAAGUGUGCUCGGAUUUGCAUAUUUGAAAGAUAAUUUUUGUUUCAGGGUGGCUAAUGAAUUAGAGGGAGGCGAGACCAGAGGCAGGAAAACCAGUUAAGAGGCUCUCUUGGUAGCCACCAGAGAGGUGGUGGUAGCAGUCUAGACUGGGGUUGGGGGCAGGGAGGGAGGGCUGAAAGAGGAAAACGAGCAGAAUCAAAUGGAUUGGCCAUUGAUGGGAUGGGGUGAGAGGGGAUGGGGUGGAUGGUGAUGCCGCCAAACCUUAAAAGAGCCGAUUUGGAGUAAAGAUAAUGAGUUCCAUUUCGGUCAUGUUAAUUUGUUAAUAGACUGAAUAAAAUGUUUUAAAUUGCUUGCCUGAGAGAGAAUACAAAUUAUGCAUAACAUUGGGAGCUACGAUAAAUACUUGGUGUCUGAACAGAGCUCCCUCUCUCUCCUCUUCUCCCCCUCCUUCUCCCUCCCUCUCUCCCUGCCUCUCCCUCCCUUCCUGGGGCAACUUCAUUACAUUCUCUGUAGACGCAAGCUUUUUGCAUUUGUACCUAAAUGCAAAUGCUAUGAAUAUUCAUUUUCUUCCUUCAAAAUGUAAAAAUGCUUUCUUAUAAUACAGCCAGUUCUCAGCCUUUUGCCUUAAUGAAAUAGUGAAAUGGAAAAUUCAAAAACAUUUAUAAGUAUUUGGCGUUGGAAUACAUUAGGACUUUAUCUGCAUCAUCAUCGCACUCUGCUAAGGAUAAUAUUACAUUUGGACCAGGUGCCUGGUGACAGCAGAGAGAUGCCAUCUGGAAUUAAAUUUGCUGUGAUUACAGUAAUUUGCAAACUCAUAAAUGGGAGAGUAUGAUGCACGUCCACGAAGAUAACUUGACAAGAUUCGGAGGAGAGGAGGAUGCAUGUGAAAAGGUCGUCCGGGUGGAAUCAUCAGGUGGGAUUGGGGUGCAUUUUCCUGGGUGAACUGUGGGAGGCCGAGGGACAGAGGAGCUGCAGGCUGGGGGCCUCUCAGGCUGCUGCAGGACGACUCCUUCCACAGGCGUCUUGGACCCAGGUGGGCAUCGCGGACCCAGGACAGCCGGGUCGGCUGGGGGCGAGGAAUGGGGUAGAAGGAAGAUAAUGCGCCUUCAGCCAUCACGUGUGACAUCCUUGCCUGUAACUUGCUGCAAUCUAAAGUAUGGUAGCGGGUGAGCUCUCUUCUGCUCAUGCAACAUGGAAGGCAGUUUUAAAUGUUUUCACAUGAAAAAUAACUCUGCUUUCUUUAACUUAGAGAAAUACUCGUUCUACUAGUCACAAUCAGUAGCUACCUGGACUUAAAAAAAAAAAAAUCAUGUUCUCUGCCCUGUAAUUUAUUUUGACCUAACCAUGUUUUACCUGCCUGGCUAAUUUCCAAGGGCCCUGCCACUUCCAUCUUGUGUUUCCUUUCUCCUAAUUAGUCCUUAAGUGGCAUUCAGAUUCUGUUUUUAAGUGUAUUAUUGCUGUGUUUUCCAGUGAGGGUAAAAUUUAAAAACGCCUACCUGUAUCUAUUGAUUUAGGCUUACCUGUGCCUCUGUCCCAUUGAUAUCUUCUUGAAAAAUAAUACAGAAGGUGACUUUUAAUAAUAGGAGACCCAUAAGCUACCAGGAAGCUCAACAUUUAGAUGAGAAUUUGUAAUCAGACCAUAUCCAUAUUGUAAAAGGAAUAUCUCUAAUAUAUAUGUUACAUCGACUUACAUUCCUUUUUUGUUUUUUGUUUUGAGACUCGACCUUGUCAUCUCCAGUGUAAGACAUUUGCCUUAGGUUGAGGGUAAAAUUCUUAACCUGGUUUAUUUUCUUUUUCAUUCAGCAGAAGUGGGCAAUCUUGUGUCAGAAAACAACACAAUGAAUAUUGCCCUUUCCCCUGCCUGGUGCACACUUCACAUGUGUAGAGCCCUUCACAAAUUGUAAAGUAUGUUCUCAUUAAAUCUAACAGUUGUUCCACAAUCCAGGUGCAUGUAGGGUAAUGCUGCCCAGAAGAAGUGGGAGGCCGCCACCAGUGGACCUCUUUAGAGGACAUGAGAGCCCGCUGGCCUGGCCGCCCUUAGCCCCCUCCCCCCGGGGAACUCCAUCUCCCUUCCACGCCUACAUGGUGCUUCUCAGCAGGGGCCCGUGGAGUCCCACCUUGGGGUUAUGGAAAUGAGGUGGAGAGCGGAGAGGUGGCGAGGCUCAGAGCUGCUGGGAGCCUACUGUCCGUGAUCUGUGCUGGGCUCAAUGGACCACAGCCAGAGGACAGCCGCCCCUUCUCUGGGUGUUUCUGUGUCCUGAGCCGCCUCUGCUCCCCUGUCUGAGGGCCCUCUCUGUCAUGACAGGUGCUCCCUUUCAGCACUCAGGUGUGGUCACAGCACAGGCUUAGCAGGGUUCCAUGUCAUUUGCAGCUUCCACCCUGGUCCUCCUGGAAUUCUGUCCUUACACACACAGCUCUCUCCUUCCUUAAACAUUCAUAAUCUAUGGCUCUGCCUUCCCAAAAAUGCUGGGCCCACUCUCACCCUGCACCGCCCCGCCCCCCGCCCUCCCCUGAACACUGAGUGCCUUGCAGUUGUUUCUCCUUAUCAAUGCGGGCAGAGUAUUACUUUCUUUAAAAUCUAAUCAUCAGGUGAAGAAAGCCCUCAGUGUGGGUUCUCUGGGCUUUCAUUGGCUGUAUCUUCUGGCAGACACUGCAGUCUCCUUUGCUUUUCAGCACCUUUUCAUAAAUCAGGUGUCUUUUUUUUUUAAAGAUUUUCUUUUUCCCUUCCAAGCAUUCAUCAGUUUCAGAUUAGGUUCCCCGGGUUUCUGCCGUGAUGAAUUUCUUGCCUUUUUGUGGCAGCCGGCUCCAGAGGAGGCGGGGGGAGUCACAUUCGUUCCACCCUUCCGGGUGCUGUGCUCGACGCAUCUCCACAGUCCAUCACCUCUCCGUAUUUACACAUCUGUCUCCCCAUCUAACCACGAACCCCUGAGGGCGGGGCUGGUAUGUGACUCCACCUACUGUGCCUGCCUCCUGGCUCCCCUUCCAAGAGCACUCAGUGCAGAGGAGGAGCCUCAGAAGGACCUGAAUGAAAUCAAUGGAUGCAGUGAAUGGAUGCCUGAAAACAGGAGCUGCAUAACAAAUACGAUCUGCUCAAGCCUCGUGCAGGUGUCCCCCAUCUUCUGUCAGCUGAAGUGCCUCUGUCCCUCUAAAUGGGGGGACCACAAACUGAGGUCAUUAGUUUCUUCCUGAGCACAAUACCUUGUACACACUUAGCUCAGGGUGAGUGGCAGGAAGAUGCCGAUGCUUGACUGUGCCACCAGAGCGGCCCCCUCCCCUGCCCAGAGAGGAAGGCAGCUCCUCUGGAAAGCUGAAUCUGGACCCAUGUCAGGGAGGGAAUUACUAGUGGCACGGACUUGCUGUUUGGGUUUGUCAACUGGUUGGAAUGUAGAUGCUGGGAAACUGACAGCCUUGAAUAACCAUUUCUCUUGUGGUUGGGUGAGAAAUCAUUUUCUGGUGAAAGAAAAUAUGCAAAGCCAUGCCUUUUGUGUGAGGUGAUCUCACUUAAGGGAAAAAACUCAGGGUGAUUUGGGUACCAUUGAGGUGCUCCCUGGUGAGGAGAAGGUGUUAACCCUGCAGGACACAUCGCCGCAGGGAGGUGAGAGCACAGUGGGCAAAGGAUGCUGGGGAGGCCCCCUGACUACCCUUAGCCCUGAGAGUCCACAAAGAAGACCAGCUUCUCUUUAGGGGGCCACAUCCACGUGGCUGUUAAAGUAGUAUCUUAGUGGAUGGCAGUCUUGUUUGAUUGACAAGUGUGUAUCUUCAUCCAGGGCAGAGGAAUCAUCCUGCACAACCAUCGCUGGAACUAGACUGAAUUGGCUCGGAUGUGAAGAGCAACAUUAGUGAGAAGAGUUUGUUAUUAAAUUAGCUGUUAUCUCCUAGUAAAGAGCAUUCUGCA